rnacentral:rRNA from 1 species
CUUACGGGAGGCAGCAGUGGGGAAUAUUGCACAAUGGGCGCAAGCAUGAUGCAGGGACGCCGCGUGAGGGAUGGAGGCAUUUAUUUUUGUAAACCUCUUUUAUCGGGGAGCAAGCGAGAGUGACUUUACCUGUUGAAUAAGCACCGGCUAAAUACUGCCCAGCAACAG